rnacentral:rRNA from 1 species
CAGUAGCCGCGGUAAUACGUAGGGUGCAAGCGUUAAUCGGAAUUACUGGGCGUAAAGCGUGCGCAGGCGGUUAUAUAAGACAGAUGUGAAAUCCCCGGGCUCAACCUGGGAACUGCAUUUGUGACUGUAUAGCUAGAGUACGGCAGAGGGGGAUGGAAUUCCGCGUGUAGCAGUGAAAUGCGUAGAUAUGCGGAGGAACACCGAUGGCGAAGGCAAUCCCCUGGGCCUGCACUGACGCUCAUGCACGAAAGCGUGGGGAGCAAACAGGAUUAGAUACCCGCGUAGUCCCUGUCUCUUAUAC